UCUGUCUCUCUCUAUAUCUUCCAUCUACGAGUUCACUCCUGCUGGCAUAAGUUUGUUGAUCCACCUUCACCAAGCCGACAUCACCGCCCACUCUCUCUCGAUCUCGCCAUCGAUCUCGGUUAGUACAUGGAUAUCACCUCUCUAGGAGCUUUAGGAGUCUUCAACGUUCAAUCGGUACCUCUCUUUUACUUCCUUCGUAAACCCUAGAGUUUGAAGGCAAUGACUCUCUCUUUCUCUCGGUUUUAAUUUAAGAAUUUUGCAUUUGAUAUUUGUGUUAUGAAUUUGAAAUUUGUAAAAACCUAGAGCUUGAAGGUAAAGGUUAUCUCUUUGCAUUCGAAAUUUGUAUUACAGAUUGAAAUCCCGUAGAAUAAUAAACUUGUGUUGUUAAUUUCAAAGUUCCCUCUCACUUGCACGGCCACACAAAUUAAUGAUCCUAAUUGACUUUGUAGCCUAGUUAAUCCAGAAUUGGGUGAAUUUGGUUCUAUCCCUCAUUCUUUCAAUUUGUUUGAGUUUGGUUUGAUGUAUUAGGACAUAAUUUUUGAUGGGAAUAUUAGAAACUACCAGUUCCUAAUACAAGUUUUACUUCUUUCUACAUGAUUAAAUCUUAUGAUUCUGAAUCUUCAUGUUGCUGAGAACUUAUUUUGCUAUUUUACCGGACAGUUGAGCUGCUGAUUCUGUUUUUUUAUUCAUUAUAAGGUCAUGAAAUGCUUCAGAUUAAUCCCAAUGCCAGGAACUCUGCUACCUGAUUAUUGCUCAUUCAAAAGAAUAAACAAAAACUGAAACAAAAUGUGCAUAACCAUUUUAUGUCAAUGCUCUUGAAAUAUCCAGCAAUGCUUCUCUCUUUUAUUGCAAUCUCAAUGUUUUUAGGGAGCCUACAGCUUUCAAAUAUCUAUCUUUUGUCCCAUGGCCAAAAAUUGAUUUUGAUGUCCAUUGUGAUGAAUUAGGAUGCACCUGCAUACCUUGUUUCCUCAUAGUGCAUUCAUAACAAGAUUUACUUAACGUGUAUCUAUCAAUCGCAUAAGGCCAACUGACAACUCCGGGUUCACAAUAUUCAUGACUGGUUUAAGCUAUAAUGUGGCAUCUAAUGAAACUACCCAACAAUAGCUCAAGCUGAAUAUCAGAUAUGGGCACACAAACAACUAAAAGUCUUGAGCCAGAAAAAAUAAUAUAUAGUGCUAAAUGCUAAUAUAUACUUAGGCAGACCCAAUUAAAAUUCAGCCUCAAGAACAAAUUGAAAAAUCAAGUUCAAGGUGGAAAAAGAUUGAGGAAAAAAACUAUGGUAUUUGACUUUUUUAGAAAUAUCUUUUUUUCCUCUCAUUUUGUUAGAGAUACGUGCACAUAUAGAUCUAAAAAGACCCUAACACAUUACUUCAACUACAAUAUCUGACCAUAAUGACUUGCCCCGAAGUUUUGAAAACCAGCCUUACUAUAAUUUAUAGUAGGAUUAGUUAAGAAUAAUUUACAAUUACGUGGUCACCUAAGCUUGUUUUUUGGAAAAUAUUAGUGAUAUUGUAGGCCAUAGUGUACAAUUUUUUUGGUUGCAUGUGUAUAUUCAUUCAAGAACUUUCUAUAUAUUUGAGUGCCCUGGGAUAUUUUAUAGAUUAACUUCUUUGAUUUUGAUUAAUUUCUCUAUCCUUUUGCAGGUCAUAUACUUUUUUAGCCUAAUGGCCAAGGAAACAGAACACUUGGUACAUCAUUUGCAAACAUUACAUGCAAAACUAUUGUACCAUGUUUCAUAUGCUGAAGAUUGUCCUUUUCAUUGUGCAGAUCUAUUUGAACGAACAAACAACAAUUACAUGAAUGAUGGAGAGAAAAAUCUAGUUGCCGCCUCAACUCAAGAAACAUUCGUGUUGCUGAUCAUGUGGAUUUAGUUGGCAGCAAUGUUGCUAAUGACAAUCCUCAUUCAGGGUUAAUGUCCUUGCAUGGGUGUUCUAAGAGCAAAGCUUUUCAGCUUUUGAAUGGCUAGCAGUGUAAUGUGUUCACCUCCUUGGAACACUAUGCUGAACUAGGAUAGCCACCCCACAUGGCAGAAACAUUUGUCGACCGUCGGGUUUCCGCUGUUUGCCGUUGCUGGACGACUGCUGCUUCAUUCAGGCUCGUAUGAUGCAUUUGAUAUUGGUUUCAUAACAACAGAUGACUUCACAAAUGCGAAUAUUCUGGAAGCAACUUAUCCAGCUUUUGCAAAGAGGUUACACAGUGAUUGGAUUAGUGAUCCUGCAAUUCCUAUUGUUACUGGCUUCCUUGGAAAGGGCUGGAGAUCUUGUGCAGUGACUACAUUGGGUAGGGCUGGCAGUGAUUUGACAGCCACAACCAUUGGUAAAGCACUUGGGUUGCAAGAAAUUCAGGUAAUGAAAUGGGCCAUUCCCAAAGAAAAUGCCAAAUCAGCAUGCAAGCAAUGAACACUUGUAGUGUCCCUUCAAAUUAAAGGACCACUCACUAGACUCCCAAUUUUUUUGGGGAUGCAACUCUUUUGAGUACGUGAUGAUAUCUUCGCAUAUCGAUAUUGGAGCUUACUAU